GAGAGAGAGAGAGAGAGAGAGAGGGGGGAGUGAUCGGAGGCGGCUCCGGAAGCCAUGAGCGGCGGCCGUUCGUAUCGCGACCGCUUGCCACGCGUCAAGGUCGGAGAGGCUUGGCUUCUUCGGCUCGCCCACGAGGAAGAGCCUCGCUUCGGGCCCAGGAUUCCGUGGAAAUUGUCCGUACGCUUGCUCGCUCUGAUGUUCAUCUCUAUCCUUUUCCGUUUCGCCCUGCAGUUAACUUUUUUCCUUUUUUUUAUCCCCGUUUUCCGCGGAUUCAUACAUCUGUAGCUUUCGUUCCGUUGAUUUUUGGUCGUGUCCGGUGAAGUAGCUGCAGAUCGAGAGCGGGCGUUUCUUUUUGGUCUCUGCUGUUUGGAACUCGUGAUUUGAGAACAUUAAAUUGUAGAUUGACCCACAAAAGGCGCUAAAUUGCAGGGCUAUCAGCUUUGGUGCUGAGUUCAUGUAGUUCCUAGUGAAUGGCGAAUUUGAUAGAGUGGGGAAAGAAAAAAAGGGUAAUUGGAACAAUGUGGAUUAGCGCGAAGUAGCGUCGUCGCUGCAGUAUCGGCUUGGUAUGUUUCUUUGGAUUAUUUAGAGUGGAGCACGAGUAGUGGCUCGCUAGUCCUGUGUAGCUGGUCUUUUGUGAACUUAAGUUGAAUUCUGCAAUUCAGCACUGUGGCCAAUCGGGUAGGUGUUACUGGAAUGAUACUUAGUAUCGCAAAAUGUAAUUGUCUCUUCAUAAAUCAUGAGAAUUGAAAAGGAAUUUGCAGUGGUCUUAUGGGCGAGUUUGAUAAAAAAACUCAGUUUUCUUUUGGAUAUGGAACCUGCCCAACAGGUUGAAGUUUCAAAGCUUUAGGUUUCUUGAGAUUUUUUCUUUGCUGCUCUUUGUUCUUCUACUUGGUGCUCUGCUAUUGAGUUUUUAUAAGUUAAAAAGACUUAGAUUGAUCACUCGCAAGAAUGGAUGUUAAAAUCAGGUCCUUGUUAGUAUUGAUGAGUGUCUGAAGGAUGUCACUGACAUGAUAUCGUGUGAGAUCAAAAAUCAAAGAAUGACUUUAAAGGUUCACCUCAUAUCUAUCCUAGAAUUAGAAGAAAGGUCAGAUAUUUUAUAAUGUCAAUUGUCAAGUGAUUCAAAUCUGGAGACUAUUAUGUAAAAUGAUGGUAGGGUCAGUAUGAUCAGGCCACUACCGAGAUAUUUUCUUCUUUAAUCUUAGGAUUGGAACUAUAUAGCAAAAUUAAAAUCCCACACAAGUUCAAUAUUCUUAAUAUCGAAACUUAGCUUUAUAUUCGAAGGUUGUGAUGAGAGUCAUGAAGCAACUAAAAAAACAGAUAAUAAGCAUCUCCAAGGCAGGUGUACAAGCAACUCUAGAUGCAUGGACAUGAAUCCUAUCUGCUACCAAUUCCCACAGGAGGGCAUUUUGACAAUUCUAAACCACUCACAUUGAGAAAUGGCUCUAAUUGAGGGAAGCCCUAGAAACUUAAACUUUCUUCAUUGACCUGAUUGUUUCCUUGAUGUUGUUGAUUAAAGAUGCCUCGUUCGUUGGUUGUCCUUUAAGCAGGACUAUGUAACUUUUGUCAAGCUAUAUUUCAAGGUUCCGCAUAUGCUACGUGUAAUGAUUACUGCCUUGUCCAUCACGUUGUAAAAGUUCAUCAUAAACAUGAAGAUGCUCUUGCUAUUGCAUUUGAUACUGCAAACUUGAAGUUUUGUGUUGCUUAUGCAAAAAUUUUGAAACCGAAGGUCCACUUUCCUGUCUUCCAGCUCUGUUUAUUUGUAGAAAGCCGAUGCAGAUGCAUGUGAAUCAUUUUAACUGGAGUACGUCUGGCAGCUAAGCUCAGAAGCGAGAAAUCUGUUUGUUGGCUCUUACGUCGGUGCUCAAAGAAGUGGUACAACUCUUGAUCCCAGAAAUACUUGCUAUAUGACUGUCAGGCAGGUUCAGGAAUCUUGCUGUCUGCGACUAUUACUCGAAGUCAUGUGGAAAAGAAGUAUUUAGUAAUUUCUCUGGUCGGUUUAUUUUAUGAAAAAUGUAGGAAUUCCAUUUUUGGCUGAGCACUUAAGUAAUUUUCUGGCCAGUUAACUUUAUGCAAAUUCAUAUGGCUCAAAGAUGUGGAAGCAUGUCCUGCUUGGCUAGUGGUUGGGAUUAUGGAAAUCACAUAGCUAUUCAGUAUGCCGAAGGAAGGAGAUGAAACUGGCUUUGAAUUCCUUUGGAUAGGGAGGAAUCUUGUUCUGCGUGAUGAUGUCUCACCUCAAGUCAGUCGAGUUAUACUGCUCUAACAUUCUCCGUAAGAGUUGGUUCUGAGUUGAUGUUUUCUGAGGAUUAAGAAGCAACCGUUACCAUUUGUAAUACAAUAGCUGUUUAGAGGAUUGAAGAUACAUAUAGCUUGAUUCUUGGUGGUUUUAUCUUUUCUUUUUCUUUUUUGGUUGUUGGGGAUAGUUAGAAGCUUGGUUUUUGUGGAAUAAUCUUGUGUACUUCUUUCUUGAGACUAUUAAAUAUUAUGUUGAUUCUGGGCUUGUGAGGGCAUUAGUCCUGAUUUAGCCAUGCUAAGCAUUUGUAUUGAUCGACAUGAACGAAGCCACUCGGUUCCUCCCUUAGACGGU
rnacentral:lncRNA from 1 species